rnacentral:tRNA from 1 species
UGGUGUAGCUCAAUCGGUAGAGCAGCUGAUUUGUAAUCAGCAGGUUACAGGUUCAAGUCCUGCCACC